UACGGAAGGCAGCAGUGGGGAAUAUUGCACAAUGGGCGCAAGCCUGAUGCAGCCAUGCCGCGUGUAUGAAGAAGGCCUUCGGGUUGUAAAGUACUUUCAGUCGUGAGGAAGGUGUUAAGGUUAAUAACCUUAGCAAUUGACGUUAGCGACAGAAGAAGCACCGGCUAACUCCGUGCCAGCAGCCGCGGUAAUACGGAGGGUGCGAGCGUUAAUCGGAAUUACUGGGCGUAAAGGGCACGCAGGCGGUUAAUUAAGUUGGAUGUGAAAUCCCCGGGCUUAACCUGGGAAUGGCAUUCAAGACUGGUUAGCUAGAGUCUUGUAGAGGGGGUAGAAAUUCCAUGUGUAGCGGUGAAAAUGCGUAGAGAUGUGGAGGAAUACCGGUGGGCGAAAGGGCGGCCCCUGGGACAAAAGACUGACGCUCAUGUGCGAAAAGCGUGGGGGAGCAAAACAGGGAUUAGAAUACC
rnacentral:rRNA from 1 species